AUGAUAACACCACCUGUGAGCCUGAAUGCAUCUGUCUGUUACAUGGCAGGGUGUGAGGAUGUUGUAGGGAUGUGUGGGACUCAACUUGAUGCCAGAGUGACCAGCCCUUCUUCAGCAUCACCCAGCUUUGAUACCCACACAUGUUGGUAUUGGGACCAGGAUGGACGAGAAACAGGAAUAGAUUCCACUGGGUGUGAGCAUCCCCAGGAAAGAAGAGCAGAAGCUUGGGAACCUUCUGGACAUCAUCCCAGCCUCAGCCUGCUGAUGUGUCAGCCAGAACUCCCAGGAACAGCUAUGGGAGAGUCUCACAGCUGCACGGUUUGUGAGUCUGAGGGUGCAGAGCUGCUCUUCACUAAAUGUACUUACCAUGACCUACAGAGUAUUAAUCCCUUCAGCUUCAAAGAAGGCCUAAAUGACAGUGCCAGGGCUUCUCCUUUGUGGUCCCCACAAGUGGCUAGGACCCCUUCAUCUGAGUCGGGGACAGAUGAUCCAAGGAUGCACAGAGGUGGUUGGCAGCCCCCUGCCUUAGCCUCCCACCCACCUCGCAGAUUUAUGUAUGUGGGCUCCAAGACACCCCCAUCAUACAGUAGGCACUAUGAGUGAGGCUUCCAGCAUUGCUCUAGUCCUCUGUGUGGCCUUGAGAAAAUCCAGCCCUUGUAUGCUGCCCUGUGCUGUCUCCCACCAGACCAGUGGGUUUAGCAGGGCCUGGAUCACUGCCAUUCUACCUUCCUGCCUGGGAGGCCCCUCCCGGGCUAUGCCCCCACCACGGGCCCUAGGUCCUACCCAAGUGGCCACCAGCAACUCUGGAAGUGAGGCACAGCACAGACCAGGCCCUAUCCAAGGCCACACAAAGGCAAGAGGGGACAGCAUGGAGCUCAGAUCUCCACUGUUUACAGGGUCCUGCUCCAUGGCUGGUUGGGUCAGGAGAGAAGUGAGGACCACAUUACCUUCAUCACUGGGAGGAAAAGUGUGUGUGGGGAUAGAUGUCUGGCUAGGGAUGCUGAGGGACUGGACUCCCUGAAAGGGCUAGCAGGGUUAAAGGGAAGGGACUCAGCCUUUCUUCUUGACUUCCUGGAUCCUAGCUGUACACUUUGUCAUUCUGUGGACACAGAAACUGAGGAGACCAGCUGGUCACCUGGAGUGAAGGCUGCAUGCCAUGGCGGCGGGGGGGGGGGUCCUU
rnacentral:lncRNA from 1 species